rnacentral:rRNA from 1 species
UACGUAGGGGGGCGAGCGUUGUCCGGAAUUAUUGGGCGUAAAGAGCGUGUAGGCGGUCCGGUAAGUCCGCUGUGAAAGUCCAGGGCUCAACCCUGGAAUGCCGGUGGAUACUGCCGGGCUAGAGUCCGGAAGAGGCGAGUGGAAUUCCUGGUGUAGCGGUGAAAUGCGCAGAUAUCGGGAGGAACACCAAUGGCGAAGGCAGCUCGCUGGGACGGUACUGACGCUGAGGCGCGGAAAGCG